UUUAUGAGUAACACAUUAUUCUGGAACUGAAUAUUCCUUUCGAGCCUCAAGAAGUCUGAACUCAGCUGAGCAGAUUUGGGUUCGAUCUCAGAGAUUCCUGCACCUAUACAUCACCAUCAGAAGACAAAAUUCAUAAAAGCACAAGAGAAGAACCAGUGUCCAGCAAGAAGCAUCUCAGUUGAGCACGAAACAAAAAAGAAAAUCCAUCAAGAUCAUUUAGUAGACUUACAGCAGAACAAGAAGAAAUGAACAUUCAAAUACCAACACCAGCAGUAGCAGUGACUGGGGUCUCCGUUCAGCCUGCUGUAUCAGUGUUUCAGCCUGCUGUAACAGUGUUUCAGCCUGCUGUAACAGUCGUUCAGCCCGCUGUACCAUUGGUUCAGCCAACUGUGGUCAUGACUCAAAUGCCAGUUGCUAAUGUACCACAUUACAUGUGCUACUCCAUCUUUACCAUGCUGUGCUGCUGUUUCCCUCUGGGCAUCGUUGCUAUCAUCUUCUCAUGCAAUGCUCGAGAUGCUAAAUUUUCUGGACAGCGAGACUUAGCGAUGAGCCACUCCAGAGUGGCAUUUAUCCUGAACAAUGUGUCUGUCGGUAUCGGCCUCGCAAUCAUUACAGCGAUCCUUAUCAUUUAUUUUAAAUAUAUGUGAUAAUAACAUCUUUGAACAGAUGUUUUAUUCUGCUUCAAAUGCAUCUACUCAUUCUGGCAAUGAUACUGUCAACUCAAGUCAAUGAUUUUGCAGAAGAAAUGAAAAAUAUUUUCCAGACCCUCUGAGGGAAUGAUCUAAUGAACGCUUAUGUUUUAUUUCUUUUUGUAUUUAAUGCUGGCAGACUGAUCUGUUU